CUCCUGCUGGAAACAUCUGGAAAACCGCGCGGGUAUAAAAGGCAGCGGCGCGCAGGACCCAAGCCAGACGGCUGUUCCUUGGGCGACUGCAGACAACCAGCCUCGCCUCCUCGCCCCUCAAGAUGGCCUUGUCUUUGAAUGUGAAGCUGCUGACAGGACAGAUGUAUUCCCUGAGCAUCCACCCAAGUGAAACCAUCUGGGAUCUCAAAAUAAAAAUUGCCCAGAAAUCAGGGGUGCCACCGUAUCAGCAGAAACUGGCAUGCCAGGACAACGGUCAUAUCGACCUGCAGGAUAAGGCCCAGCUGUCUCAGUUUGGGCUGAAAUCUGGAGAUACCAUCAUGUUGGUGGUAAAAAAUGAAGAGGCCAUUACCAUCUUCGUGAGGAAUGACAGAGGCAGAACCAGCCCGUACCAGGUUCUUCCUUCGGAGAAGGUGGCUGACUUCAAAGUCCGGGUUCAGCGACAAGAGAACAUCCGGGCAGAACAGUUCUGGCUGACUUAUGAUGGGAGGCCUUUGGAAAAUGACAAUCAACUGUCAGAUUACAACAUUGCCCCGCACGGCACCAUCUUCUUGAACAUGCGUCUGCGGGGUGGCUGCAUUGGCCAAGUAUCCCUCCUGAGCUUAGCUCUGUGUUUUUCUGAUUUUUAAAAAUCUUCUUAAUGCUUAGGAGGGGGGGCACCCAGUAUUGUCAUUUAUUGCAGAAGUGAUGCCUGUAGAUUCCAGUAUCCUAUCGCGCACAUGCAGCCUACAGUUGCAUGCAAAUAUCUGUGAACAGGGAGUAACUAUUCCAACCCUGGCAUGAGAAGACGGUCAGGGGCUCUCUAACCUUCUCUUAAAGCCACACGCUUGGAGGCAUCUCAGAAACAUUUUCUUUCCUUCUAGGGCUGAAAUUGACAGACAGCCCAAUCCAGAUGGGAGGGGGUGGCGAACAGGCUGUAGGAGUAGUAUGUUUGCCCACCCUGCCUGUGUAAGUGGCACCCAAGCCAACAGAGAGAGCAAAGAUGCUGGAAGGUGGUGCAUAGAGCUCUGUGGCACCCAAACCUGGAAGAGCUCAUUGCUGGGAGGCUAUACCAGUAUGGGAGAGCACACUGGUACAGCAGGGGACGGGACGGGGGGCGUUCUCAGGGAUGGAGCAGGCUUUUGCCAGCUUUCACUGGGCUUCAAGCCCGGGAACAUCCCCCUCCCUGGCCACAGACUUACAUCACUGGGAAGUGUGGUAUAAACUUGUUUGCUCUAUGGGGUUGUGUGGGUGGCAGGAGGGGUUUAUGGAUUUUCCUCCUUUCUGAGCCAUCCAAAAACCUCCUGGAGGCUUUCGUUGUGCCUUCCCUGGCACUGUGGAUCCCUCCCCCCACAUCUGGAUUGGGCUGUUAAACUUCUUGCCAGUAUUGUCUCUCUUGUGGGACCUGAAGCAGAAGAUGAGCAGUACUAUUUCAGCUUCUUUCUUUCUGUUAUCUCUGUACCAGCUGGUACCAGCUUACCCUUCACCCUUUUCUCCUUUCCAAAGAGUGACUGCUGCCCAAUCAUAUGCAAACUGGGGCCACUCAGCAAGCUAGAACUUGACUGAUGGAAGAGCAUAUCUGCCUCAGGACCCUGUCUGUUCCUGCAACUUUGUGUCCUCCCAGGUGUCCUCCCAGACUUUGGACCUUUUCCACAGUUUGCAGACCACUGCCUAGGAGAAACCUCCUCAAAAACCAAGAGGAGGGGCUUAGUUCUGAAUUUUUCUCUUGCAAACCAAGUGUUUAAAUGUCUUCAUACUCCCUGUUUAGUCCUAUUUAAAUGCUUCAAUAUUAUUAACUCUGUUGAUGUUUCUCCAAUACUGCUGGGUCUAUUUCUAUGUUCUGUUCAAAGUACUUUUAUCAGUAUUGUACUAAUAAAAAGAAAACCUUCACAAAAA